UUCUAUGAAGGUAACAAGAACUGGGUUUUGUUUUUUUUUUUUUUUGUAGGAAGAAGGUAGUUUGCUCAGAAAAUACUUAAUCAGUUUACAAGACUGUCCGAAAACAGAUUUUCUCAUGAACAUAGCUAAGAGUCCAAUCAUUGUUUUAAGGAUGCUUCCGGAUGGAAGUCAAUGUUUAGUAUUUUUAACACAUAUUGAUGUGUGUCUGGAUAAGUUUUUUUUGUUUGUUUUUAAAGAAAAAUCACAAGUUUUAUAAAAUUGAAGAAACUUUAAACCCGUGUCAUUUAUAAUGUAAAAUUAAUGCAUUUGAAACUCAGUGGUUGACUCAUGGCUCCCACAUCCAUUUGCAGUUCUUGUUAGCUCAUGUGGUUUUCUUUAAAAAUUAGUGAUAUCAGCUAAGUGGGACUCUUUCCCACUCCUACCCACAGAGGAAAGUGCUUUUGUGAACGUGUCAGCCCCGCUCUGUCAUUACACGCCACCACGGAGGGCACCAGAAGCAGGCUGGCUGUUCAUCCUCCAUCACCGAUGUUGGCACAGCGUCAGGAGCCCAAUCCAAAUCAGACAACCCUAAAAUUUCCGCCCGUUUAUUCCAUGCACAUAAGCCACCUUUUUAGCACCAAGAAAUUUUGUAUCUUGACCAGAUCUUUGAAGUCUUCCAGUGCAGCCUCUUUAUUUUGGACAUGGGGCAACUGAGGCACAGAGAGGUCCAGCCAUUUGCCCAACAUCACACAGCUCAUAGGUGAGCCGAGCUCCCAGGUCUGCGUGGCUCCAAAACCUUUGAUCCUUCUGCCUCACUGCUGCUGAUUGGGUCCAGGCCCUCUCCACGCCUUUUCCUGCUCAGCUGCCUUGCACUGGUGUCCUGCUAAUUAGGAGGCAAUGUCACAGACGGCCGGGAAAGCAUUCCAGGCAUGGGAAGCCAGCUAUCGUAUCCCUCCCUGGGUCUCGGCUCCACUGUUUGCCAUCAGUGUAGGUUUCUCCAGACCGAGCUGUUCCAUCAUUUCUUCCUGCAGGUGCUUCCUCAGUACCCUCUCCCGGACGCUUUCCAGUGACACAGUCCCCUGGUCGGUGCCUCUUUUAUGUAAAUGGGACCUCCCCAAAGUGGGACUCCUCCAACUUGUUCGUCAUCCUUGCAUUCCCAAUGUCCAUCAGUUCCACCGCUGUCCGCCUUGUCUCCCAGCCCCCCAAAUUCUGUCGCCUUUGCUUCUCCUCCUCCCCUUCCAGCUCCCGGCACCGAAGCAAUUUCUGUCCCAGCUCCCCCUCCUUCUAUUCCCAUGACUCAGUAUUUUUUUUUUUUUACCUUGUCUGUGGACAUAGUCCUUUAACUGGCUUCCUUGCCCCACGUCUCUCCAGAAAUGCUUUCCUAAACUCCGACAGCUACAUGAGGUCUGAUGGCUGCUGUCCUCACUCCCCGGACAGAGGAGCUGCCCGUCCUGGAUUCCACUUCUGCUGUGCCUCUGCCAGCCCUGUGGCUUUCGGUACAUGAUUUAUACCUUCGGCCCCAGUUUCUUCGCUUACAAAAUGAAGAUGUUGAACAAGACAGUCUCUAAAGAGAUGCCUCUGGUUCUGAGCUGUUAGGUCUCCCCCCUCUGAUCUGCCCACCAGACUGCUUCCAAAGAAAUCUUUCUAAAACACUGAUUUCCCCCCCCCCCCCCAUAAUAUCCUUCAGUUGUCCCUCUUUUCACAUAAAUGCCAAUCUCCAUAGCCUGGCAUUAUGGACGCCCUACAGGUUGGUGCCGAACCACCCCCCCCCCCUUGCCUUAUUGUUCCCCACACUCAAGCCAAACUCAGCUACUUGCUUUUGGUCACACUCAUGCCAAGCUUCCCACCUCUUUGCUCUGAUAGCACCGAGCACCGUCUGCCUUGUGCCGUAAGCUUGCCGGCAGGGGCCACACCUUCUUCACCCUUGUCUCUCGCACAACACCAGGCACGGAAUAGGCACUGAGUAAGCAGUUCUCGAACGAAUUGAUUCAGCCCCAAAAUUGCACUAACAUUUUUUGGCCAUCGUAUCAUAUCCUUGAUUCCUACUGGGCUUCUGGUCAAAUAAAAUCCUUAAGCUUUUAAAAAAUAUAAUCUUUAAUUGAGUCUUCUUUUGUCCUUUCCUUUUGCCCACCCUUUGAACUGAUAUUCAGAACUUCAUCUGUUAGUUUAAUUUUCGUCCAUUGUACUUGUCUUUACAAAUGUUUUGUUGUUGUUGUUCUUGAUUCUCUUAUCUAGUUUAUUGGUUUCCCAUUAUGUUAGCCACAGGUACAAUGGGUAUACUGACCGUUCCACUGAAGUUACUGAUAGUAAUAUUGAACAGGAGAAAGACGAGUAGGGCACCUCAUUCUCUAGCUUGACAAUGACCUCUUAUCUAGCAGUUUUGGGAUAUGGUUGUUUAAACACAUAAGACUAGUUGCUCAUUUUAUUGUAAGUCAUUGUGUAUAGACACAAUGAAGAAUAACCUAUACAUUCAUUCAACUCAUUUAUUAGUGAUUUAUUACAUGUUAGUCCUCAUUUUAUUCACUUCAUUUUAAUUACUCGUAUUUAUUAACUCAGUCAUCACACAUGAGCCUGGGUGUUGGGCUUCGUGUAAUAUAAACCAAUGAUGAAGAUCUGGCCCCUGUCCUCUUUGAGCUGCAAAGAGCAAGUAGGACUCCUCCACAGACCAGUGUAGCCCAAGGUAGAAUGGGGGUAGGUCAAAGGGCUUUGAGAGUCAAAGGGUGGAAAGGCUCGUGUCUGCCUGGAUGAAGACUUACAGAAUGAGUAGGACUGUCGUCAGUGAUGAUGAGGAUAUUAAGUGCAGGCUAAGCUGCUGUACCAAAGAGGUCCACCAGACAGAGGCUUUACUUCACUGGUAGUUCAUUUCUCCCUCAACAGUCAAGGUAGGUGAUCCGAGUCUCUCUGCUCUGUCCCCAGUAUGAGGUUUCCACUUUGUGUUCAAAGUGACCGCUCCAGUCCUCCCCAUUGCCAGCCAGGGAGGCAGGGAGAUAGAGGCCAAGACGAACCGCUCAGUCGUUUUAAGGAUAUAACUGGGAAGUUGCUUAUGUUGCUUGUACCCAUGUCGUGUUGGCUGGUGCAUAGUCCCAUGACCACCCCCAGUGGAAAAGGAGUCUGGGAAAUGUAGUUUUUCACGGGGUAGCCCCAUGCCCAGCCAAAACUAUUACUUUUGAAGGAGAAAACAGAUUCGGGGAAGGCAAUUAACAGUCUGCCACAGGGAGAAAGAGAAGGAUUCCAUGUGAGGAGAAAAACUGUGAAAGAGAGAGCUGGUGGAUUAAAUUCUCAGCUGACUGGAAGCAAUCGGGGACAUAGAUUUGGAUUUAGUAGAAAAGAAGUGAAAACUUAAAGAAGAAAUGCACUGUCUGGAGAGCUAGAAUUCUUCACCUCUGAAAAAACAGUCAAGAAAAAUGGCACCCCUGAGGCCAAUACUCUUAAGGAUAAUGGAGCUGUGAGCUGGAUGGAGCCUGUGUCCCUGAAGAGAUCAUGAACAGAGCCACUAGGCCAGUCGUUGGCCAACUACUUCUGUACUUUGACAGGAGAGAGAAACAACUAUCUUAGGUUACUUUAUUGUAAGAAUACGGUUUACAAUACACGUGACAUAGAAAAUAGGUGCUAGUCGACGGUUUCCAUCACAGUUGCUGUUUUGGCUGUCUCAGAACAACGUCAGCCAGGAAGUCGGCACAAGAUACCUACCAGCUAUGGACUUUGUCAGUUUUCCAAAUGCUCUUCUGCCCCGGGGAUGCACAGACCCUCAGGCAAAACCACCCCUGCAAAGAAUGCUCUGCUGGGAUCACUUCUGCCAGCCAAAGCCCCAUUCUCUCAGGCACAGGGGAGCAGGUUUUGACUCAAAGGAGCACCUUUGAGCCACUGACAUAAACCCUGCUGUGACCUUGCCCCCACCCACCACCCUCUCCUUUCUCCUAACUAACCUCCCAUAAGACUUCCAGAGCCAUUGACCUCCUCUUCCUCACUUCUCCGCAGGCAGCCUGGCUUAUUCCUCCCACCUCUCCCUCUAGGGAUCCUACCCUAUGGGUCAUCAACAAACUUCUUGUCAAGUUCAAAGGCCAGUGCCCUUGGCCCCUUGGCUGUACGUGAAAUCUUCAAUUGUUCAUUCUUCAAACUUUUCUUCCCUUGGUUUCUAGGAAAUCAAGCCUCUCCUAGUUCUCCUGGUCUCUCUCUGAACAUUCAAGUUGUUUCUUUCUCCUUGCAGCCUUUGCUUGUUGUCCAGGACGUCGCCCUCCGCCCACCGGUAUUCUCUCCCCCACACCCUCUCGCCGCUGAUUCUUUCUUAGUGUCAGCCAUGAUUUCCAUGAUCUACAUGCCGAUAACUCCAGCCCAGACGUUUCCCCUCUGACUUCUAUUUCCUGGAGGUGCUGGUCCUCACGUGGGUGUCGCGUGGGCCUGAGAUCCGCCAGGGCUGAAUUCAUCUCCCCAUCAGGGCUCUUUGGCUGCAAGCAACAGGGACUGACCCUGACUUGCCAGUGCACGGAAGAGACUAAUUGGAGGGAUUGCAAGAUGGUUCCUAGAAUCAAGGGAAUCACUGGACAGCCUGGCGUCUGGUAGCCUGAACAAGGCCACCGCCCAGAUUCAAGUUCCCGGGAGCAAAUUUGACACACCCAGCUCAGAUCAUGGCCCCACUCCUUGGGGUCUGUAAUCAAAAUAAAGUGGAAUGAGAGAUGCAAAAGGUCUCAGACAAGACAGCAGCCACCAAGCCUUCCAAGUUUGUUUUUCUUCUGGACCAGAAGGGAGUCUCUCUCUCUCUGUCUCUCUCUGUCUCUCCCUCCCUCUCUCCCUCUCUCCCCCCUUCCCCUAACUCAGGUAUCUCAACACCAGUCAGUCAUUACAUUCUGAGAUUUUUAAAGUACUUCUCCAACCAGUGGCCUUCUCCAUCCCUUGGACCUCUGACCUCCUUUGGAGUCUUAUGAUCUCUUGGCUUGAUGACUACUGGUGGCCUCCUAAAAAGUCUCUGCUCCCUCUCUUGUCCACCUCAAGUUUGUCCUCCACGUGAUAGCCAGACUGAUCUAUCUAAAUCCAGAGCUAGCCACAUGACUCCCCUGUUUGAGCUCCUUAACCUAGAGGGUGAGCUAUGGGACUGGCAGCCCACAUUUCUUGUUACCAAAUAAAAUUCUGCGGGGACCUGGCCCCUACCCACAACCCCUUCGCCGCAACCUGGUUUUUGUCUGUUUGUCUGUCUGUCUGUUUUUGCUUCUGGCACUCCCUCUUCCUGCGUGGCUUUCUUCUCCCCCUACCACCGUACCCCAACCUGGCCGUUACCAGUUUAUCUUUAAAAAUCGAAUGAGGCUUCACGUCCUCAAGGCUGCCCUCCCUAAGCCUUUCCUGACAUUUCAUGAGGGGUUGAGGACCCCUCCUGAGCGCUUCCAUAAUGCCCUGAGCAUAUCUCUAUGAUCACCACACACAACCCACUGUUUGAGGAGUAUGUGUUCAGGUGCCUAUCUCUCCUACUAUCUACACAUUCUUGAAAAGCAGGGAUGAGACUAGGCAUACAGUAGGUGCUUAAUAAACGGUGGGUUUUUGUUUUUUUUUUUUGAAUAGUCACUGACUUUGGUAAAUCAUGUAACAUCUUCUGGGUUUCAGCUUCCUCACUGCAAAAAGGAGAUAGGUCGACCUCUCCCGUGUUGUGCGAUUAAGUGAGAUGAUAUAAAUGGAACGCCUUGCAUGGUGCCCGGCACGUGAAACCGCGUUCCAAGAUCAGGGAGGCAAGUGUCAGAAGGAGAAAACGGCCAGCGUCUCGAGCUCAAAAGAGAACAAGCCCCUGCUCUUUCCUCCACGACAACGACGGCAACAGUUGCCCCGGCCGCGACGGAGCUGGCUUCCCCUGCCCUUGGGUACCACACGACGUCCCGCACCCCCGUCAUCUUUCUGUGGGAUUUCUCUCCACACGCUCCACGGAGGAACCGGGCUCAGGUUACAUCGAAUCUUGUCAAUUCCACCAGACUGGCUGGCGUGCUUUCUUUCCCCGAGGCAAAAACAAAGUCUAGAUGAUGGAAACAGACCCGGAAGAGUCAGCAGGCAGCAAAAGGCAAGGCCUGGGAGAGAUGCUGGCCCAACUGUGCUAGGUUGGUUCCGAGGACUCGCUUCGGGACCCCUGCCUCAAAGAGCAAAGUGUAUCCCGGGAGAAGAAGCAGACAGCUUCCCGCACGUCACUAACCUUACGGAGCACCGCAGGGCAAAGACCGAGGAGACCAAAAUCUCUGGACACCCCUUGUUCUGGCUGGCGGCACACCAUCUGGUUAGCCAAGGACCUUCUUAAGCCAGGCCCCUGAAACUGAGCGUGGAACUUCCAGCAAGCUCUGGCCGAGCCGGGACCUGGCCUGAGGCCUGCAGACCCAGCACAGCCUCACACAUAGUUGAAGACCCGAGGAGUGGAUUCCACCAACAUCCAGAUGGGCAGUGAGGGGUGCCAAGAGAAAGCCACGCUGCCUCUUUUGGCAAUCAGUAGACCCGGACAGAUCACCCUUCGUUGCAGGGGAGUUCACCACCCCUGGCCUUUCCGGCUCGACGCGCUAACGGUCAUGGCCCUCCCUGAAUCCUCCUGACCACCGAAAAUGCACCCCUCCCGGCUGCUUCAGCACCCCGGCUGAGAGCCGCAGACCCAGCACGUCCUGACCGCCCCCCCAAUUCCCCUUCCCCGUGACGAAGCGGGAGAUGAAUUCGACUGGAGGCCUCUGGCGCGAGGUGUUUCUGCCCAAUGAAAAGAGACAGCGGAGCCCAAGUAGCAGAUCUCGCUGCCCACGAGAAUGCCAAGGUCCAAGCCAGGCUCAGGAAAUAAAAAGGAAGGUUUGGAAUCAUGGAGAAGAUGACUCCAAUAUGCUCUAGGAGGAGUCUGAUACUCACUCUUCCUAUGGGCAAAGGUGCUUUUUUAAAGGAGUCUGAUCUUAAAAAGCUAACUCCUCUUUCCACCCAUUUACCAUAGUUCAACAGGCAAGUUAUGGGCUGAGGAAACGAUGUCUGCGGGCCUGCAACCAUCGGCGAGUUUGAGGACGGCCGGCCUGAGGAAGAGGCCAUCACGGCGAGCGGAGGGGACAGGUGGCGAGAACUGGGGUGUCCGGUGGCUCAGAAUGAGCCCCUCGGUCAGCCAACCUCCAUUCUGCCCCAUCUCCGUUCCUUCGAUAUGUUAAAUAAUUGUGCAAGCCGGUGCAGUUGGGCUUUUUCUCUUACGACAACCAAAAGCGUCUUCCUGAUAAGUGUUCAUAUUCUGGCUGUUGGGAGGUCUCCUUUCUGGGCUUUAUGUAGAGAAUUUGCCCCGUUUCUUGGUUCUACCUUGAAGUGUGGUGGUUAAGGAAGUCUCUGGGUUCACGUUCCACCUCUGUUUUUAUAGGCUGUGUCCAUUUAGGCAAAUCACUUCAUCUUUUGAGGUCUCAUUUCCUCAUCUGUCAAACGGGGGCCAUAAUAGUUUUCUGACUCUGGGGACAUGGGGAUUAAAUUAAAUGAGUUAAUGUAAGAAAAGCA